UUUUAAAUCAUGUGAAAAGGAAAUACGGUCGACAGGCGACGACAGCUCCGGAGCGCGUGGAUGCCGCCGUGACGGGAGAAUGCCCGAGCCAUGGCUCGGGACCGUGAUCUUCUCCUGAUCCGUGGCUUAGGAAUUCAGGUUUCCGGUAGGCGGCGGUAGGCCGAAGAGUAAAUGACGGAUGAGGACAAGUGCGGGGCUGUCUCCUACCUCUGGCUACGCUUUGCUGGAUCUCCAUCGACGGUUAUGGCUCUCUGAGCAGCGGAUAUUGGCGGUGGGGCGGGCGCGGAGAUUGCAGAGCAGUGGUUUGUUGGAAUAAUGGAGUUCCGUGUACAGCCUAUUAGGAGAUUUGGCCGAUGCGAGCGACAACGAGUUUCCGAUGGAGCCGCUCUGCUUCCCCGCGGUGGCGAUAGGUGCGGAUGAGCUGCCCCCCAUGGCAGGGGGUAGCACGGACGGCCAGAUCUGUGCAGCGGAGGGGGGAGUUGCGGGCGAAAGGGAUGUUGAACCACAUGCAUCCGACCAAUCGAUUCAUCCAAAGACUCCAGGCUGGACUAGAAGGGUGAGAAUUGGAGCAGCUGCUCCAGGAAGGACACCUAACCCUGGACGUCCCAGCGCCCUGUGGAAGGCUAAUCGUGGAUUCGCUGAGAAACCAGGGGAGAUUGUGAUCGUGCCUGCAAUUGGCACAAGCUUUGAUACGCUCGGCGAGGCCUAUGACUUUCACAAUAUCUACUCCUGGGAGAAGGCGUUCGGGAUAAGGCACGGGAAGAGCAGACUGAAUGUGGAGAGGACAAAAUGCAUGGAAGUUUGUGUUUGUGCGGUAUUCCACCAUAACCAUAGGAAAACCCGGGGUGGAGGACACUUGAUCGUGCCGAUGCGAAUGCCCUACACUGAUAAGAUUGCUCCGUUCAAAGGCCAAUGGUUGGUACAUAGCUGAGCAUCGUGAGCAGCACAACCACUCGUUGUGUCCAACAUAUGGGCAGACAAUACACUGGCAUUUGCACAAGCACAUUGAUGUCUACAGCAGAGAUCUGGUUGAGCAGUUGCGCCAGAACAAUGUGAACCUAGCAAAAGUACACAACAUUAUUGGAAGUUUUUUUUGGGCUCAAUGGAGAAGCCCCCCUUUACAAAAAGAGCUCUGAAAAAUUUGUGUGGCAAAAUCACCAGGGUGCGGGCUGAAGAUGAUGUGAGGAAACUAUGGAGGUUUUCGCAGAACUCAGUUCAAGAGAUCGCCACUUCACUUAUCGUGUGCAAGCAGACAACGAUGGUCCGAUAACAAAUUUGAUGUGGGCGAAUGUGAGCAGCAGGUUGCAGUACACAUUCUUUGGAGACAUCGUUACUUUCGAUACGACUUACAGAACAAACAUGUACAACAUGCCAUUUGGUCUAUUCGUCGGUGUGAACAAUCAUUUUCAGAGUAUCAUCCUAGCUGGGGUUUUGGUUCGUGAUGAAUAAGAGAGAACAUUUGAGUAGGUUUUCACGGAGUUCGUUAGGAUGAUGGGAGUGAGUGCGCCCAAAACAAUUCUGACAUGUUUGAACCUUUAUAAUACAAAAAAUGUGUGGUUCAUCCAUUUCAGGAUUGAUGUUUUUGAAACAUGGAUUGUAAUAUGAUUUAACUUGUUGUGCAGAUCAAUGCUGCGCAAUGGAGUUUGCCAUAAAAAAUGUAAUGCCUCAGACCGGUGCAUCGAUGGUUCAAGUGGCACGUGCUAAAAAAAGGCAAAAGAAUCACUCAAUUCAUUGUACACCAAGAAGAGUGAGUUCAGGGCAGAGUUCCACAAGGUAGUGAAUCACAUGCUUACAAUCGACAAAUUCGAGGAAGCUUGGAAGAUCUUGGUGGAGAAAUACAAUCUAAAGACUCACUCAUACAUGACGCAACUGUAUGAAAUACGGCACAAGUGGGAGAAGCCAUAUUUCAAAGGUGUUUUCUGUGCAAAGAUGACCAGCACACAGCGCAUUGAACGUACAAACAACAUGCUGAAGAAUAAUGUUCCAUCGGGUUGUCCAGUGAAUAUGUUUAUCAAGAAGUACAUGAGACUUCAGUUUGACAGGGAAGCAGAGGAGAACUACGAGGAGAAACAGACACAAAUAAGUAGGCCUCUACAAUGCAAACUUAGCUAUCGAUCGUCAUCCUAGUAAGAUAUACACAUGAGCUAUGUUCGAGCAGUUUAGGCAUAUACUCUAUGAGUGUGGGGGCAUACCAAGUUGAAGAGCUUGAGAAGGGGAAACUUUAUCGUGCGAUUCACAUGGAGGCUGCAAGGAGAGAAAAGUGCUGCAGAGUGUCGUACGAGGUAAAUGUACUGGAAGGGGGUGAUGAACUUGAAUGUGAGUGUGAGCCAUUUGCACACAUGGGUCUGCUAUGCAGCUAUGUUUUAAGGUGCUGGAUUUCAUUCAUAUAAUAGAGAUACCACAGAAACACAUCGUCAAGCGAUGGACCAGAGAUGCACGCGACAUACUACUGCCUCACCUUACUUAAUAUCUGAGAGAUAAUGCCCACAAUAACCCAUUCAGCUUCAGGCAUUUCAACAUGCACAUGCAUGCCAUGGAGCUGGCGUGGAUGGGUGACACAAGUGUUGAGGCCUGUGAGAAAUUCAUGUCUCUCAGUAAGAGUUGCUUGAUAUAGAUAUGCAACACUUUGCAGAGGUGAAGGAUGGGCUAGGAGGAUAGCUUAAAAUGGAGAUGUCGUUAAUCAGGCACCAGUGCAGGCGACAAUUCUUGAUGGAAGUGGAGAUGCAUCUAUCCGAGCUUUGAAUGCUGAAGCUACUUCAGUGAACAAGUGGGAACAUGCUGGCUGGAUUGUUGGCUCCAAAGAAGCGAAAAGAGAUGGGUCGCCCAACAACUGCCCAAGAGAAGGCGCCAUACGAGGGUCUAAGCAAAUGGAUGAGGUUCUGCACGAUAUGUCGUCAGCAGGGGCAUAAGAGGACAACCUGCCCAGACCUGGCGAUAUCCUGAAGCCUGUUCGCAAACCGGCAAGGUGCAAAAAUUGUGGCGUUGAAGGUCACAGGCGAAACAACUACAAAAGAGUAGGUGAUCUAUGGAUGAGCGCCAUCUUUUUUUAGAAAAGGAGGAUGACCCCCGGCCUCUGCAUCUGGACGAUGCAUACGGCCACUUCAUUAAUUAUUCUCACAAGACUUUACAAAGUCAUACAACAGUAAGACUAAAGCCGCCGUCGGAUGAGCGCCAUCUGAUCAGUCGCUUCAAGGUUUUCUAUGUGCUGUUUUCGUGAAGAGAGUAAUUCUGUAGAACAAAAUGUAUCCGGUGGUUACUCCCUUUGUAGCACUCCCAAAUGGUUGCUGAGUGUGCUGGUCUGCUGUUAGUCAUAACAAUGCCUUGAUGGCUUGUUUUACAAUAAACACGAAACUCUGUCACACGAUGCUGUGUUAUUUUAUUUGAAUUUGUUGGCUA